rnacentral:siRNA from 1 species
GGUCCCGUAGCUCAGUUGGUU